CACCUCAUGAAAAUAAGAAUCAGCAAACAGAUAAAGUUACAGAACUGUCGCAAGAUAAUGUCAACAAAGGUGAAGAUCAAGAAUCACCUCAUGAAAAUAAGAAUCAGCAAACAGAUAAAGUUACAAAACGGUCGCAAGAUAAUGUCAACAGUGGUGAAGAUCAAAAAUCACCUCAAGAAAAUAAGAAUCAGCCUACAGAUAAAGUUACAGAACUGUCGCAAGAUAAUGGCAACAAAGAUGAAGAUCAAAAAUCACCUCAUGAAAAUAAGAAU